AAGGAUGGAAGAGGAAAAAAAAAAACUUCUAGCAAUUCUGCUUCUGAACAUCCUAUACAAUGUGCAGGGGAAGUUUCCAGCAGACAAAGACAAGAACAUGACGGCCAAGCAAGAAAGAGUCCAAGACAAACAGCCAGAUGGGAGUAGAUGGAGAACAGAAGGCGUAG